rnacentral:rRNA from 1 species
UACGGAGGGUGCAAGCGUUGUCCGGAAUCACUGGGCGUAAAGGGCGCGUAGGUGGCUUUGUAAGUUUGCGGUGAAAGUCCGGGGCUCAACCUCGGAUCGGCCGUGGCGACUCGUGGGCUGGAGCACUGUAGAGGCGGGUGGAAUUCCGGGUGUAGCGGUGGAAUGCGUAGAGAUCCGGAAGAACACCAGUGGCGAAGGCGGCCCGCUGGGCAGUGGCUGACGCUGAGGCGCGACAGCGUGGGGAGCAAACAGG